rnacentral:rRNA from 1 species
GGGCCCGCACAAGCGGUGGAGCAUGUGGUUUAAUUCGAUGAUACGCGAGGAACCUUACCAGGGCUUAAAUGUUAGGUGACAGAUCUAGAAAUAGAUUUUUCUUCGGACACUUAACAAGGUGCUGCAUGGUUGUCGUCAGCUCGUGCCGUGAGGUGUCAGGUUAAGUCCUAUAACGAGCGCAACCCCCUGUUGUUAGUUGCCAGCGAGUAAUGUCGGGAACUCUAGCAAGACUGCCAGUGCAAACUGUGAGGAAGGUGGGGAUGACGUCAAAUCAUCACGGCCCUUACGUCCUGGGCUACACACGUGCUACAAUGGUAGGUACAGAGAGCAGCCAAUGCGCGAGCAUGAGCAAAUCCCCAUAAACCGUGGC